AACAGGUUUCAUUUAUGAGCGGCCAACAACACCAACGGGCAGUCCGUCAGUCAGUCAGUCAGCCUCCGAUUCCGAAUCCGACUUCUCCUCCAACUCCACCAUCCCCACCAUCCCCACCUCCAGCUUCCAUAGCAUUUCCAAACGCCAAACUCCACUUGGCGGCCCAGUGGUCAGCGCAAUUCAGCCCGACUGCUGCAGCCCAAGUUGGCGAUGGAGCUCGGAGUCAGUGCCAGACUAGGUAAUGUUCCCACGAAACAGGUUGUGGGUCCACCUCAGCUCAGAUCAGCUCGGCGGUCCGCGGUCCUGCAACGUCGGAACCCGGGGCAGCGGCUCGAGCUCGAGCUGAAGUGUUGCGCCUUCGUGCAUGGCCGAGAGCUAUGGGCCACCGCCACUCUGGCGUUGAACGGACUGAGCUCGGGCUCGCUUCUUUUAGUUCGAUGGGUACGUCUGCAGCAAAGGCUAUGUGCGAGCCGGGCCCAGUCGAGUAUAUGGCCAUGGGCAAGGCAAUGCAAGCCGAGCGGAGUCAGGGCUGCCUCUGCCUCUGAACUGCAUCUGAACUGGCGGGGUAGCUGCAACUGCAACUGGAAGUUGGUAGCAGCACCUGGGGCUGGGUUUUUGGCCAGGUACGCCACUCGCACUUACUGCCAAUGGCAGCGGCAAAUCAAAAUCUGUGCACAAUUAUGGCCUACACAUCUGGUCAGAAAGCCAGCCAGAUAGCCAGCUAGCCAGGUCGGAAUGGAAUGGAAUGGAUCGGCCAGCAUUGUCUGCGGCAUUUGCAGCACUCGAGUGGCCAUUAGAAGAUGUGGACGCAGACGCCUCAUGAGCUCCCAAUUAGUGUUGGAUUACAUAUUUGUAGCCCGAUCCUGCGGCAUUGUAACCAAAUUGGAACAUAUAAAUUAUGGACAAAUUCGGAAAGCCGGCAAGCCGAGCCGGAUAAAUUGAGCGCAUUAGAGCGAGAGGCUUCGUUUGGUGGAUUAUCAGAAUUAUAAGUUCAUUUAAAGCAUUCAAAUUGGAAAUUAAAUCGCAAUGAAUCAUCACAAAACGCUGUUCGAUUUAACGCCCCGGAAUUGUUGUGAAUAAACGAGAUAUUUCAUCCAUGGAAUGGCUGGCGCACAUUGUUAGCAAACAAAUUUCAUUGUGGUUACCUGGGAAACCUAUUUGUUGUGCCCAAAUAACUCCGGCGCAAUCCAUCAAAUAAGAAAGGGGCUACGAGGAGCAGCGGGUUGUCCGUCCCUCGAAUCCCUCGGAUGCCUCGAAAUCCACCGAAAAUCCCGCUGCUGGCCCAUUAAUUUAUUGUUGUUAUUACGGUGUGCUGGUAAUCAACACGUUCCUUCGAUGACCUUGCACUAUACAACCAUCGAUCGUGUGAUAAAUCGAACGGAAAUCAUUAAUAAUCAGGCAAAAUCAAAAGCGUUUCUUCGCCUAAUGAUUGGGAUCGGUGUGUUGCCCGUACCCAGAUACGAGUACUUAUGUAAAACGCCAACAGCAAUUUGAAUUAUGACGAUUUAAAUGUAGCAUCAAGACAAGAAAGGAAUCUCCGACUAUGCGAUAGAUGGAUGCCCAGCCCAUAAGCUCAGAUGCACUGAG
ensembl:ncRNA lncRNA:CR34006 long non-coding RNA:CR34006